rnacentral:misc_RNA from 1 species
GUGAAUCAUCAAAUCUUUGAACGCAAAUUGCACUCUCCUCGGAGAGUAUGCGUGUUUGAGGGUCAGACUAUAAAAAAUCGACAUCGUUGCUGUUUCGCGGUGGCGUUCGUCGGAAAUUGGGUCAUCUUAAAUCCUUUUGGUUUUUAAGCGACUUAAAAUUUUCUUUUUGGUACAUGGACGUGUUAAAGAUUUUAUUUUUUAAGUUUUUGAGU